rfam:Schistosoma mattheei strain Denwood, Zambia genome assembly, scaffold: SMTD_contig0001863
GUCUAGCUGACAAGUCCCGAAUAGGACGAAACGCGAGUCCUGGAU